AGAGUUUGAUCAUGGCUCAGAUUGAACGCUGGCGGUAAGCCUUAAACAUGCAAGUCGUGCGGUAACAGACAUAAAGAUUUAGCUUGCUAAAUCCGGUGCUGACGAGCGGCGAACGGGUGAGUAACACGUAGGAAUCUACCCAGUAGCGGGGGAUAGCCCAGGGAAACUUGGAUUAAUACCGCAUACACCCUAAGGGGAAAAGAAGGCCUCUCUUUGAAGCUUUCACUAUUGGAUGAGCCUGCGUAAGAUUAGCUUGUUGGUGGGGUAAAGGCCUACCAAGGCAACGAUCUUUAGCUGGUCUGAGAGGACGAUCAGCCACAUUGGGACUGAGACACGGCCCAGACUUCUACGGAAGGCAGCAGUUAGGAAUAUUGGACAAUGGGGGCAACCCUGAUCCAGCUAUACCGCGUGUGUGAAGAAGGCCCUAGGGUUGUAAAGCACUUUAAGCAGGGAAGAAGCAUGUUAAGUUAAUACCUUAACAUGUUGACGUUACCUGAAGAAUAAGGACCGGCUAACUCCGUGCCAGCAGCCGCGGUAAUACGGAGGGUCCAAGCGUUAAUCGGAAUUACUGGGCGUAAAGCGCGCGUAGGCGGUUUAAUAAGUUGUAUGUGAAAGCCCUGGGCUCAACCUAGGAACUGCAUACAAAACUAUUAAGCUUGAGGACGAGAGAGGAGAGUAGAAUUUCAGGUGUAGCGGUGAAAUGCGUAGAUAUCUGAAGGAAUACCAAUGGCGAAGGCAGCUCUCUGGCUCGUUUCUGACGCUAAGGUGCGAAAGCGUGGGUAGCAAACAGGAUUAGAUACCCUGGUAGUCCACGCCGUAAACGAUGAUAACUAGCCGUUGGGCAGAUUUAACUGUUCAGUGGCACAGCUAACGCAUUAAGUUAUCCGCCUGGGGAG
rnacentral:rRNA from 1 species